rnacentral:rRNA from 1 species
UACGAAGGGGGCUAGCGUUGCUCGGAAUCACUGGGCGUAAAGCGCACGUAGGCGGCUUUUUAAGUCAGGGGUGAAAUCCUGGAGCUCAACUCCAGAACUGCCUUUGAUACUGAGAAGCUUGAGUCCGGGAGAGGUGAGUGGAACUGCGAGUGUAGAGGUGAAAUUCGUAGAUAUUGGGAAGAACACCCGUGGCGAAGGCGGCCAUCUGGACCGGUACUGACGCUAAGGCGCGACAGCGUGGGGAGCAAACAGG